CAAGAUGACUGCCAGAUUUGCAGCUGGAGA
rnacentral:piRNA from 1 species